GUUUGAGGGCUUCAUCUCUUUACUUUACUAAUUUAUAUUUGCUAUAUUUGCUUAUUUGAGAAGCUUGUAUUUGAUUUAAACUCUUGCUCUAUUAUCUUGUAACUUGAUUCAAUCAAGAGAUUGAAUCAAGGGGUUAAGGUUUGUUGGUGAGCCAAAGGAAAAACCAACUUUGUAAGGUUGUGGUUGGUGAGCCUUUGGGAAAACCAACUGGGUUGAUUGUGAAUCUGGAAAACAAUCGUUGUAAGGUUGUGGUUGGUGUGCCUUUGGGAAAACCAACUAGGUUGGAUUGUGAGCCCGUGAAAACAAUCAGUUGGUUCUAGUCGGUGAGCCUGUGAAAACCGACCGAGUUCGUUGUGAUCUCGCAAAACAACAAGUUGGGUUGUGAGCUUGUAAAACAACCGACUGUAAUCUGAGGGAUUAUAGUGAAAUUUUCAAGAGGUCUUGGAGAGUGGAUGUAAGUGCUGGGGUGCACCGAACCACUAUACAUCUUUGUAUUUGUGAUGCCUUAUCUCUUGUAUUUCAUGCCUUACAUUCAUGCUUGAUUGUGUAAUAUCUCUAGCUUUGUUUUCUAUAGAGUUAUAAGUGAUUGUUUAGAAUUUGCUUAGCUUCCACUCCAUUCUUACCAUACACAUAGAUUAAAAUUGAUCAUACAACUAAAAGUUAAUUUUAGAUCAAUUGCACCCUAAAGCCAUAGUAUAAUUGCUCUAGCUUAAUUUUCCACUGCUUUACUUGUAAUUGCCUAGAGCUUAAGUAAAUAACAUCUUAUUAUUCCGCUGCAUUCUAUUCAAAGUAAAAAUUAGGGAACAUAAUUUUUAGAAAACCCAAUUCACCCCCCCCUCUUGGGUUGUCACCUUGGGCAAC
rnacentral:lncRNA from 1 species